rnacentral:rRNA from 1 species
AUUUCCGUAGGUGAACCUGCGGAAGGAUCAUUAGUGAAUAUAGGGUGUCCAACUUAACUUGGAGCCCGACCCUCACUUUCUAACCCUGUGCAUUUGUCUUGGGUAGUAGCUUGCGUCAGCGAGCGAAUCCCAUUUCACUUACAAACACAAAGUCUAUGAAUGUAACAAAUUUAUAACAAACAAAACUUUCAACAACGGAUCUCUUGGCUCUCGCAUCGAUGAAGAACGCAGCGAAAUGCGAUACGUAAUGUGAAUUGCAGAAUUCAGUGAAUCAUCGAAUCUUUGAACGCACCUUGCGCUCCAUGGUAUUCCGUGGAGCAUGCCUGUUUGAGUGUCAUGAAUUCUUCAACCCACCUCUUUCUUAGUGAAUCAGGCGGUGUUUGGAUUCUGAGCGUUGCUGGCCUCACGGUCUAGCUCGCUCGUAAUGCAUUAGCAUCCGCAAUCGAACUUCGGAUUUUCCGUAGGUGAACCUGCGGAAGGAUCAUUAGUGAAUAUAGGGUGUCCAACUUAACUUGGAGCCCGACCCUCACUUUCUAACCCUGUGCAUUUGUCUUGGGUAGUAGCUUGCGUCAGCGAGCGAAUCCCAUUUCACUUACAAACACAAAGUCUAUGAAU